rnacentral:rRNA from 1 species
UACGUAGGGGCAAGCGUUGUCCGGAUUUAUUGGGCGUAAAGAGCGUGUAGGCGGCCAGGCAGGUCCGUUGUGAAACUCGAGGCUCAACCUCGAGACGUCGAUGGAAACCGUCUGGCUAGAGUCCGGAAGAGGAGAGUGGAAUUCCUGGUGUAGCGGUGAAAUGCGCAGAUAUCAGGAAGAACACCUAUGGCGAAGGCAGCUCUCUGGGACGGUACUGACGCUGAGACGCGAAAGCGUGGGAGCGAACAGG